AUGGCUGGUAGCUAGAACCAGGAGCUUGCAUGGAUGCUAGUGGCUUAGCACCAGAUGCUUCCAUGGUGAGAAAAAUAACCAGAAAGCGUCAUCGGUGGUAGCACAUUACUAGCAUCCAGCUCUUGGGACGAAGCUUUGGUUUUAUAUUACCAGAAGCUUUUUUGUUCAAAAGAAAUAUGUGGGGUUUGUGAGAAAGCGGCAAUUAUGAAGAAAGGAAGCAGUUUUGAAGAGAAAAGCACAUGGGUUCCUGAUCUUGAGUCCUGUUCUUACCCCCAAGAGGAGAAGUUCAGGGUUUCAGCGACGGAUUCCCAGUGCUAGAAAGUCACUCCGGGUAUGACUUCGGCCCAUGAAUCUCCCUUAGAAGUUUGGUUUUUCUUCUUUUGUUUUUCUUUUCGUUGCUGUUAUUUGUAGUUCUUUUUGAUCUAAGAAUAAGAAAGGACAUGGGAGUGUUAGAAAAGCUUCUGUUUGUGUUUGUGCCAAUCUUUGUUUCUUGUUGAUUCAUUAAUGUAUCAGGGGGAAAAUGUGCUCAUAUGAAUCUUGAGUUUGUUAUUAUUAUUUUUUUUUAUUUUGGAAGAAUUUGUUCCCAUAUGGAUGAGAAAAAUUAGUAAUUUUGAUUCGUAAUUUUGGAAGAAUUUGUUCCUCACUGUUAUUUGCAGUUCUUUUUUAUCUAAGAAUAAGAAAAAAGGAUAUGGGAGUGACAGAAAAGCUUCUAUUUGUGUUUCUGCCAAUCUUUAUUUCUUGUUGAUUCAUUCAUGUAUAAGGGGGAAAAUGUACUCAUAUGAAUCUUUAGUUUGUUAUUAUUAUUUUAUUUUAUUUUGGAAGAAUUUUUUCCCUUAUGGAUGAGAAAAAUUAGUAAUUUUGACUCGAAACCUAUAAAUUUUCAGUCAUAAUACCUUCUUAAUUAAUUUCAAGUAGUUAUUUUUUUCGUGGCUAGUAGGGGGAGGCAAUCCAUGGGAUACUUGUAUGUCAAAAAGUUGGUUCACUAAAUAGAUGCAAUGUCUAGUUGGUGGCUUGUCUGGUCCCUUGUUAAAAUUUACCCCAUAAUUCAGAUCUUAAAGUGCCCAACUAAACCCAUUAUUUAUUAUAAGGACCUGAUUGAAUCAAUUGGUCCAACUAGUCGGAUUGCCGUCUGGUGGCUUGGCCAGUUUGGUCCAAAGCAAAAGUUGUGUUUGGUGAAAAUGGGCAUGACUUUAUAUCAUGGUGUGGUUCUGCCAUCUUGAUCACUCAGUCUAAAUGCCCAUUUCUUGCUAAAUUGGUUUUGACCAGUUGGAUCUAGUGAUCAACCGUUUUUAACUAGUUGGGCUGGAUGAACAUAGUUGGGCAAUUUUUUAUGUAAUAUAUUUCAUAUUUUUAAGCUAUUUUUCAUUUAUUUAUUUUUUUGUUAAUUCCCUUUCAACCUACGGAUUGAAUUAAUUUUGACUGGACUUGACCAUUCAUUGGUUCUGUCAUCAGUCUGAUCAUUCUAACACUCAGUGAAAUGUUUCUGAAUUCAAAAUAACUUGCAUUCAUUGCAAGCGCAUUCAUAUUUUUGGCCUCCCUGGUUUGUCACUUUCAGAUCAAAAGUAUCUUCCAUGAUGUAAAAUAGUGGUCCUGCACUCUUUACUGCUGACAGUACUUGUGGGGUUGGUAGGGGACAACAUUCAAAAAUUAUGAAAACCCUAUUAUCUUUUACCAUUUUGCUUCCUAGGUGAGGCUUAUAGACCAGUCCUAUUAAUGUCUGGGUAGUUCAGCUCUUGAAGAGCGGGACCAAGGAAGGCAAAAUGAUGCAUAUAUUUAGGCCUACUGACUGCCCUUUUUUUUUUCUCAAUAAUAUGGUCCAAUUCUUUUGUAAUUGGACCAUUGAGUUCAAAAUGACAAAAAAAAUCAAGGACCAGUGACUUCCCUAAUUUUUUUGCAAUAACAAGAGCCAGAUUUAUGAGGACAAAAUGGUAACCAAGACUGGCUGAUUACAAUCUUAAUUUACCUGAAAUUACUUUAAUCUGCCACUAAAAUUGCCAACUGUCCAUGAAAAAGGCUAAAUAAAAUCUACACAUUUGCUUAGCUUUUUAGCUAGCCUUUGACCUUUGUCUGGCACUUAAAAUUCGAAAUGCUGUUUUAUGUGAAGUAAAUUUGGUUCUCUGCAUUGCAUUUAAUCUUAUGCAAAAAGAUUGAUGGCAAACAGUUAUUUAGGUGUUCAAUAUCUUUUGCUCUCUCUCUCCCCAUCCAUUUGCUUUAAUCAUCGGGCCAAUGUUUUACUUAACAAAAGUUCUGUCUUUCGCAUGCCUAAAUUUAGUUUGCCACCUAAAAUUGUCCCGUCUUCAGAAUUGCCUUACCUAUACAGGUUCGGUUCACAGUUAUAGUGUCCAUUUGCACUAGCUUUGAUAGAGAUGAAACAAUUCUUAUGAGGAUCUAAAUUUCACUGUCUCACCCGCGGGUCGGUCCUCUCAGUGGAAGGCUUAUAACACCUAUGAGAGUAGUUGUUGUACAAAGUGUGCUCUAGAAAAGUUGGGUAAUACAAUGCCUAAAAACAGAGGUAGGGGCUCUGUUUGCAAAGGCUUUGGAAGCUAAGUGCCAGACCGGGCAGAGCUUAAUAUAGUAUUGACAAACUGAAAUGAAGAAACGCGUGUGGGAAGGUCUCCCGGGCUUAGGUGGUGGCUACUGCUUUUGUGAUGGCACCCUCCUUAGCUAGAUGGUCUGCCAGUGCGUUUGAUUCCCUCCAGAUAUUUGUCCAUGAGACGGGAAUAUCCUUGUAGAGGUAAGAUAUCUCGUCAAAAAUCGUAGUGAGGUACCAGGGAGGAGAAACAAGACCUGCAGCCCAAGAGACUAAAUUCCGUGUGUCCCCUUCCACUAGAAGUGGUUGAACCCAUGCAGGAUCAAAGAGUUUGAUGCCGUAAGCAAGGCGAGGGAUUCCGCCAGUUGUUAAUUGGCGUGGCCUAUGUGUCUGGAGAACUGUGCCAAGGUGUUCCCUUGGUAGUCUCUAAACACCCCCCCAACCCUUGAGGGGCCAGGAUUUCCAAGCGAGCAGCCAUCUAAGUUGAACUUAAUUGCACCCUACGGAGGGGGAGACCAUCCCACAUGGCGUGUGGGUCGAGUGUGCUGAUGCAGAAGUAAUUGUGGCUAGUUGACUAAGAAGUUAGAGGAAGGGAGGUACUUGAAGGCCUUGUGAUUAGUGGCCCAGAAAGUUAUGAGAGUGUGGAUUUUGUGGAAUAAGGCGGGAUUAUUGCAAUGGGCUCCUCGAAAAAUUCUUGUGUUCCUUACCAUCCAUAAAGUCCAAUUGUGGCCUUUGUCGCUGCCUUCAAAGGAGCCUCCCAGCUUUGGGCCACGGUAGACAGUCUGCUAGGUUAAAAAGUCCAGUGAUGGAGGCUGGCAUGACCUAGGUCAAGCCGAAAAGGUUAAGGAGUUUGCUCCACUGGUAAUGGGCUAUAUCGCAGUGGAUGAAUAGGUGAGGGUGGUUUUUUUCUUCUUAUAGACAAAAGGCUUAUCGAUUCGGAAAAGGGAUACCUCUUCACUUGAGUUGGUCCACUGUUAGCACUUUUUUCGCACAAGCGAUCCAAUUGAACGCUUGCACUUUUGGUGGCGCUAUUGAUGACCAUACCUUGUAAGCUACCGAAGGGGAUGAGGGGUGAGAUGGUAGUAAUGUUCUAUAGAACAAGGACACCGACAAGGAGUCGGAGGCAUCUAGCGUCCAUAUGAUCCUGUCCGGUCCUGAAGGUGGAAUAAAAUAAUCAUUGAGCAGGGCUGAGAGGGGGAUGAACUCCAGGAGUUCGACGUCAGAAAGAGGUCGCCUAAAAGAGGGGUUCCAAACUCUUCUGUUACCUAUCAGUUGAAGUUCUUCCGAGAUCGAGGCUAGCGGCUUUGUGGUAAGGGAGUACAAUGAGGGAUAACGAUCCUUGAGAGGAGUGUGUCCCAACCAAGGUCUGACCAAAUCGAACCCUACUGCCAGACCUCGGGUGGAACCUGAUGGAUUGUUUAAAAGUAGACAAGAUUGAUAGGAACGAUUUCCAAGCUCCCAAGGGUCUGUUGUGGGACCUCCCCUCUGGUAGCCAGACUUCAGAUGGGAUUCUAUACUUGUGUCGGAGCACAUGUGACCAGAGCAGAUUAGGGGAGUUUGCCAAGCGCCACCGCCAUUUGCCCAACAUAGUUAGGUUCUGCUUUCUCAGGGAACGAAUCCCAAGUCCUCCCUAAGGCUUCGAUCGGUAGACCUUAUCUCAGGCAACGAGGUUGAAUUUUUUUGACUCAGGCUCUCCUAACCAGAGGAAGUUCAUUGACGGACUUAAUGGUACAUUCCUUCUCAAAAAAAAAAAUGAACUUAAUGGUACAUUUCCUUUUUAUACAGAACUGUUUCUACAAAUUUUAAGAAAAGAAAAACAAAAUAUUGUUUCAUUUCAACUUGUCCUAUGAGCUCAAACAAAUCUUAUGGAAGAACAUUUUGUGGUAACGUUUUGGUUUAAAGCAUGUCUGCAAUAGAUUUUAUGCAAUCUGAUAGGCAUGAUGAUGUUGGGUCCUAGUCAGCAAUUUGAGUGUUUCUUAUAUUAUAACAUAGUUCUUGAGAUCCCUGGAUCUCUUUUAUUUUUUAUUUUUAUUUAUCUAUUUAUUUUUGUGUCAAAUCUUUCAGAUACCAUGACUAAGGACAGUUUAGGAGGAAUGUUGUUUGAGUUUCUUUUGAUCUCCUUUGUUCACUUUGCUGAACUUUUUUAGUUGGUGAUGGAUCCAUUCAUGCUUAUAUAUUAGUUUAUUAUUGCAUGGUUUAAUUCUUUAAUUACUUGCCUGUAGUGUUGUUACAUGGUAAUAAGUUUAGCUUAAUGAGCACUCAAUUGUACAAUACAGAAUUUGCAGCACAAACAAAUGUGAUCGCUUUGAUAAGAUUCACAGUGAUACAAUAGAAACAAAGAUAGAUUAUGAAUAGCAAGUUCAAAGGCGGCACUAGUGACAAAGAUAAUUAUAAUCAUCGUUCUACAGAUUCUCCUGCUCCUAUCUAUUGUUUUCUCUUUGCUUUUCCCUAAGAAAGAGCUCAGAAUUCUCAACAUAUAAGUCCAGUGUUCGGGUCCUUUUUUUUUAUGUGUAUAAUUGCUUUGCUUAUGUUCUUAGUAUCCUUUUCCUGCAAAUGCUUUCCUUUUCGGAAGCUUCAUCAAUAUUUUUCUAGUACCUUUUCUAUAACUUUCCCUUUUUUCCAUCUCCUAAUGCAGAACAAUAUUGCAAAAAAUACAAUGGAGUUAGGCCUGAAGAGGUUCCCAUUUACUAAAGCUUUAGAUGAUACUCUUUUUAUUUCAAGCUCAAAUAAAUAAGAAACAAUGAUGCUUUAGAAAAUGGUAAAAGCAUACCAGAAUCCUUAUAACAUAUAGAGAAAAAUUGAAUGUCUGACAGAGAAUUAAUGUCUAAGGAAGACAAGUUUACAAAUGUAUGUCUGAUACAUUUAAUGUUAUCCAAAAUCAUUUAUGAUUACAGUAACCCCUUACCAUUACAUUCCAUAAUUUAGUUGACAUAUGGUCUCUUUGAUCAAUGGUGGUGGGUUUGGUAGGUUGAGUUACAUGAAAUUGGGAGAUGAUUUCCUGCCCUCAGGUUUCAACAAGAAUGGGUUGCAAGAUUCAGUAUUUUUUAUAAAUUUAUUUUUCUGUACAAUCUGGGUCUUUAAGGGUUGGCUAUGACUAUCUUGGAGAAAAUACUUUCAAUGCUCUGAGCACCAGACCAUGGAGGGAAACAUAGUAAAAGGAAAUACCUUUCACUUCUGUUUAUGCCGUUGCCUUGUUCGGCAACUAAAGUGAUGCCGCUAUAUCUAUUAUGUUGUCUAAACAGUUGUGCCUCACUCAUUUCUUUCCAUUAUUUGCCAGGAUUUUUUUUAAUGUUUCCCAUGAAGACCUUUAUUCAUUCGAUAUUUUGCAAUCCAUUUUUGAAAAAUUUCAUAUUGUAGUCCAAUUUACCACAGUUACAGUAAAAUUGUGGAUUCAACUGUUUGUAUUCGAUAUGUAGUCUUAAGUGACUAAUAAGUUGAUCAAGAAAGGGUAUAGAUUUGUCUUCAAUAUGUAGUAUUAAGUGCCUGAUAAGUUGAUCAAGAAAGGGUAUGGGAUGGUGGUUUGCACCAUCUUGCUCACUGCCAUUUGCCUUUGGAUGUUCACAUGUUACCUAGCUCCUUCUGUUAUUCCUAUUGUUUUAUUUUUUACAAAAAUCAAGACAAAAUGCCUUGAAAUUAGAAGACAUGUCAAUGAACUCUUCAAGUGCUUCAAACCAUUACUUGAAAAUUUUGAAUAUCAGACAAUCUUGUGGACUUUGCCAUGCCAAAGUGGUAGCAUAUGUCUUUCCUUGCCGGGCUAUAGGUUUGUGUAACAUUAUUAAGUAGUGAACUACUGUCUCUCUCCAUUACCUCGUUCUACUACAACAUUAUCCUGUUCUCGUAGGGCCUCUUGCUACCCUGUUCUGACCUGUCAACCUUGGGAAAUUCAUUUAUGCCGGAGAUUCGACUGAACAAUUGGGUUUCUCGAAUAAAUCAUGCUGUUUGGCAAAAAGUUCCCCGUGUACUCUAGAAAAAUAAUGAGAUCACAUGGCAUCAAGACUUUUGGACUUUGGCUUCAGGGACUGUUGCUGAGAUGAACAGGUCCGUCCGCAUUUAUCUUUGUCUUCAAUCAAAUAAAGAAUCAAGUAGGACUUCACAGCAAGGGCUAUACCUGACCCUACCAGGUCAGAAUCAAACUGGGACCUAGUGGGGUCUAGGUCUGUUAGAUCCGGAGUGGAGUUGCCUCACUUGAUCUGGGUGGUCUAGCCAGACCUUGAUUUGGGUCCGUUUACGGCCGCCUAAACGUGGCCCAGCCUUGGACUCGAUACUUCGGGAUGGGGUUUGGACUCCCAAUGCUGGUCUGCAUCCAUAGAUCAAAUCCAAACCUUACAGUCUUGCUGGGUUUUGGGGAGUGCAUUGAGACCCAAACGAGACAACAAACUCACUUAUUUGACAGCCCUAUUGACAUCAAGAUUAAACUCGUUUAAGGAAUGGGCACAAAAUAAGGUGGUCAGGGUGGCUAGGUACUACAAUAUAACGUCUUGAGUUCUACAAUAUGGUCAACCAACAUGCCCACACAACUUAAAAUGCUACUACAGUAUUUUGAUU